CAACAGGGAUUGCCUUAGUAACGGCGAGUGAAGCGGCAACAGCUCAAAUUUGAAAUCUGGCCCUCGGGUCCGAAUUGUAAUUUGUAGAGGAUGAUUUUGGUGCGGUAUCUUCCGAGUUCCUUGGAACAGGACGCCUUAGAGGGUGAGAGCCCCGUACGGUUGAAUGCCUAGCCUCUGUAAAUCUCCUUCGACGAGUCGAGUAGUUUGGGAAUGCUGCUCUAAAUGGGAGGUAAAUUUCUUCUAAAGCUAAAUAUUGGCCAGAGACCGAUAGCGCACAAGUAGAGUGAUCGAAAGAUGAAAAGCACUUUGAAAAGAGGGUUAAAUAGCACGUGAAAUUGUUGAAAGGGAAGGAUUUGUGACCAGACUUUUUCUGGGCGGAUCAUCCGGGGUUCUCUCCGGUGCACUUUGCCCAGUAAAGGCCAGCAUCGAUUUUCGGCGGCGGAUAAAAGCAGUGGGAAUGUGGCUCCCUACGGGGAGUGUUAUAGCCCAUUGUAUAAUACGCUGCUGGGGAUCGAGGUACGCGCUUCUGCAAGGAUGCUGGCGUAAUGGUUAUCAAUCACCCGUCUUGAAACACGGACCAAGGAGUCGAACAUUUAUGCGAGUGUUUGGGUGUUAAACCCUCACGCGUAAUGAAAGUGAACGGAGGUGAGAGCCCGUACGGGUGCAUCAUCGACCGAUCCUGAAGUUUUCGGAUGGAUUUGAGUAAGAGCAUAACUGUUCGGACCCGAAAGAUGGUGAACUAUGCGUGGAUAGGGUGAAGCCAGAGGAAACUCUGGUGGAGGCUCGCAGCGGUUCUGACGUGCAAAUCGAUCGUCAAAUCUGCGCAUGGGGGCGAAAGACUAAUCG
rnacentral:rRNA from 1 species